rnacentral:snRNA from 1 species
GUGCUUGCUUUGGCAGCACAUCUACUAAAAUUGGAUACAGAGAAGAUUAACAUGGCCCCUGCGGCAAGGAAGACACGCAAAUUUGUGAAGUGUUCCAUUUUAAA